rnacentral:tRNA from 1 species
AGUUAAACACUUUAAAGUAAGUUUUAUAUUUUGAAAAUAUAAAUUAAGGAGUUAAAUCCUCCUAUUAACUU